GUGAAUCAUCAAAUUUUUGAACGCAAAUUGCACUCUCUGGUAUUCCGGAGAGUAUGCCUGUUUGAGGGUCAGUUUAAAUAAAAAUCGGUGUGGUUGCUGCCUUAUGUGGUGACGCACCGGAUUUGGGUCGUUUUGGCUUCGGUUAAGUGUGCUAAUAUUUUGCAUGACAUUUUUAGAACGCAUUUAAAUGAUUAUACGUACGUUCGCGAUAUCGAAUACAAGGUGAGGAA
rnacentral:misc_RNA from 1 species